rnacentral:rRNA from 1 species
AGGGCGCACGGUGGAUGCCUCGGCGCCAGGAGCCGAUGAAGGGCGCGGCAAACGGCGAUACGCCCCGGGGAGCCGUAAGCAGGCGUUGAUCCGGGGAUUCCCGAAUGGGGCAACCCACCGCCCGGAAUGGGGCGGUAUCCCGGAGGGUGAAUCCAUAGCCUCCGGGAGGGCACACCGGGGGAACUGAAACAUCUUAGUACCCCGAGGAGAAGAAAGCAACCGCGAUUCCCUUAGUAGCGGCGAGCGAACGGGGAAGAGCCUAAACCGGAAGGCUUUGCCUUCCGGGGUCGUGGGGCGCCUCAGAUGGGAGUGACAAAAGGCGGCGGUAGGUGAAGAGGUCUGGAAAGGCCCGCCAGAGAGCGUGACAGCCGCGUAACCGAAACCGUCGCCUCUCCCGAGGCGGACCCCGAGUACCACGGGACACGGGAAAUCCCGUGGGAAUCCGGGAGGACCACCUCCCAAGGCUAAAUACUCCCUGGCGACCGAUAGCGCACCAGUACCGUGAGGGAAAGGUGAAAAGCACCCCGGGAGGGGAGUGAAAGAGAACCUGAAACCGUGUGCCUACAAGCAGUCGGAGCGCGAUGCCCGCAAGGGCAAGCGUGACGGCGUGCCUUUUGUAGAAUGAACCGGCGAGUUACGGUCGCGUGCGAGGUUAAGGCUGGAGAGCCGGAGCCGUAGCGAAAGCGAGUCCGAACAGGGCGCUUGAGUACGCGGCCGUAGACCCGAAACCGGGUGAUCUACCCAUGCCCAGGGUGAAGUCGGGGUAAUGCCCGACGGAGGCCCGAACCGGUUGGUGGUGAAAAACCAUCGGAUGAGGUGUGGGUAGGGGUGAAAUGCCAAUCGAACCCGGAGAUAGCUGGUUCUCCCCGAAAUAGCUUUAGGGCUAGCCUCGGGAUGUGAGUGCCGGAGGUAGAGCACGGAUUGGGCUAGGGGCCUCACCGGGUUACCGAACUCAGUCAAACUCCGAAUGCCGGCCACUCGAAUCCCGGGAGUCAGACCGCGAGCGCUAAGGUCCGUGGUCGAGAGGGGAACAGCCCAGACCGCCAGCUAAGGCCCCCAAGUGCGCGCUAAGUGGGAAAGGAUGUGGCGUUGCGAAGACAACCAGGAUGUUGGCUUAGAAGCAGCCAUCAUUUAAAGAGUGCGUAAUAGCUCACUGGUCGAGUGACGCUGCGCCGAAAAUGUACCGGGGCUAAGCGCGCCGCCGAAGCUGCGGGUGCCGCACCUUUCGGAGCGGCGCGGUAGGGGAGCGUUCCGCCCAGCGUCGAAGGCCGACCGUGAGGACGGCUGGAGCGGGCGGAAGUGAGAAUGCCGGUGUGAGUAGCGAUAAGACGGGUGAGAAUCCCGUCCGCCGGAAGCCUAAGGGUUCCUGAGGAAGGCUCGUCCGCUCAGGGUUAGUCGGGACCUAAGCCGAGGCCGAAAGGCGUAGGCGAUGGGCAACGGGUUGACAUUCCCGUACACCUCCGCUCCGCUUGAGCGAUGGGGGGACGCAGGAGGGUAGGGGAGCGCGCGGCUGGAAGUGCGCGUCCAAGCGGUUAGGCCGGCAGAUAGGCAAAUCCGUCUGCCACCAAGGCUGAGCCGUGACGGCGAGGGGAAGUUCAGUACCCGAAGUCCCUGAUCCCACACUGCCGAGAAAAGCCUCUAGCGAUGGAGCGAGGUGCCCGUACCGCAAACCGACACAGGUAGGCAGGGAGAGAAUCCUCAGGCGCGCGGAAGAACCCUCGCUAAGGAACUCGGCAAAAUGGCCCCGUAACUUCGGGAGAAGGGGUGCCUCGGUAGGGUGAGGAGCCCGAGGAGGCCGCAGUGAAGAGGCCCAAGCGACUGUUUAUCACAAACACAGGUCUCUGCGAAGCCGCAAGGCGAUGUAUAGGGGCUGACGCCUGCCCGGUGCUGGAAGGUUAAGGGGAAGGGUGAGCGCCUUACGGCGCGAAGCCCUGAACCGAAGCCCCAGUAAACGGCGGCCGUAACUAUAACGGUCCUAAGGUAGCGAAAUUCCUUGUCGGGUAAGUUCCGACCCGCACGAAAGGCGUAACGACUUGGGCACUGUCUCGGCGAGGGAUCCGGCGAAAUCGUAGUACCUGUGAAGAUGCAGGUUACCCGCGACUAGACGGAAAGACCCCGUGGAGCUUUACUGCAGCCUGAUAUUGAAUUUUGGUGCGGUCUGUACAGGAUAGGUGGGAGCCUGCGAAAGCCAAGCCGCCAGGCUUGGUGGAGGCGCCGGUGGGAUACCACCCUGACCGUAUCGAAAUUCUAACCCGCGGCCGUCCAUCCGGUCGGGGGACAGUGUCAGGCGGGCAGUUUGACUGGGGCGGUCGCCUCCUAAACGGUAACGGAGGCGCCCAAAGGUUCCCUCAGCGCGGUCGGAAAUCGCGCGUCGAGUGCAAAGGCAGAAGGGAGCCUGACUGCAAGACCGACAGGUCGAGCAGGGACGAAAGUCGGGCUUAGUGAUCCGGUGGUCCCGCGUGGAAGGGCCAUCGCUCAACGGAUAAAAGCUACCCCGGGGAUAACAGGCUGAUCUCCCCCAAGAGUCCACAUCGACGGGGAGGUUUGGCACCUCGAUGUCGGCUCGUCGCAUCCUGGGGCUGAAGUCGGUCCCAAGGGUUGGGCUGUUCGCCCAUUAAAGCGGCACGUGAGCUGGGUUCAGAACGUCGUGAGACAGUUCGGUCCCUAUCUGUCGCGGGCGCAGGAAAUCUGAGAGGAGCUGCCCCUAGUACGAGAGGACCGGGGUGGACGCACCGCUGGUGUACCAGUUGUCCCGCCAGGGGCACCGCUGGGUAGCCAUGUGCGGCCGGGAUAAGCGCUGAAAGCAUCUAAGCGCGAAGCCCCCCUCAAGAUCAGAUUUC